rnacentral:rRNA from 1 species
CCCUUAGAUGUCCUGGGCCGCACGCGCGUUACACUGAUGCAUUCAACGAGCUUAUAACCUUGGCCGAGAGGCCUGGGCAAUCUUGUUAACGUGCAUCGUGAUGGGGAUAGAUUAUUGAAAUUAUUAAUCUUGAACGAGGAAUUCCUAGUAAACGCAGAUCAUCAAUCUGCAUUGAUUACGUCCCUGCCCUUUGUACACACCGCCCGUCGCAUCUACCGAUUGGAUGGUCCGGUGAAGCCUCGGGAUUGUGGUUCUUGCCGCUUUAUUGUGGCGUGACCGCGAGAACUUGUCUAAACCUUAUCAUCUAGAGGAAGGUGAAGUCGUAACA